rnacentral:rRNA from 1 species
AUUGAACGCUGGCGGAAUGCUUUACACAUGCAAGUCGAACGGCAGCACGGACUUCGGUCUGGUGGCGAGUGGCGAACGGGUGAGUAAUGUAUCGGAACGUGCCCAGUCGUGGGGGAUAACGUAGUGAAAAUUACGCUAAUACCGCAUACGAUCUAUGGAUGAAAGCGGGGGAUCGCAAGACCUCGCGCGAUUGGAGCGGCCGAUAUCAGAUUAGGUAGUUGGUGGGGUAAAGGCCCACCAAGCCAACGAUCUGUAGCUGGUCUGAGAGGACGACCAGGCACACUGGAACUGAGACACGGUCCAGACUCCUACGGGAGGCAGCAGUGGGGAAUUUUGGACAAUGGGCGAAAGCCUGAUCCAGCCAUUCCGCGUGCAGGAUGAAGGCCCUCGGGUUGUAAACUGCUUUUGUACAGAACGAAAAGGUUUCUACUAAUACUAGGAGCUCAUGACGGUACUGUAAGAAUAAGCACCGGCUAACUACGUGCCAGCCGCCGCCGCGG